UUGUAUCAACACUUCCCUGGAAAUGUACAUAAAGGCAAGAUUCAUGAUCUCUAUUAGCAACAACCGAGAAUGGCAGCUUCUUCUGGCAAAGGAUCGAUUAAGCUUGUAUUCCUUGUGGUUGGAAUCUUAACUUCAGGGUGAAACAUUCUAAGUUACAUAAUAGGCAUUUCCACCUUUGCUUUCAAGGUAUCCAUUGCUAUGUUCGACUUAAAUACUUUUUUGUGCCCAAGACUGUUACCAUUUCUGGGUAAAUGGUGAAGAAAAUGAUCUUGCCUCCCAGAAAGUUUACCUUCCACUACAGAAUACAUGUCCACAGUUCACAGAUUCUUCUGAUUCCAAAUACUGUUGAUAGUCUUUACCCAAAAAAACUCCCUCCAAACUUGGAAAGUUUCUAAGGAUACCCUGUGAUUUAGGGUGCUAGAAGUCUCCAUUGAAUGAGAGAUGAUCUUUAGAGGCAAUGUAAGCUUCUUUGGGCUGGAAGAAAAGGGAGCAUUUCUGAUGAAAACCAAAAAAAUGGCAAGUUACGGGUGCCCACGAUUAAAUAAAGUUUUUCCACAAAGUAUUUCAUUCUAUGCAGCCAGCUCAAGGACUGCCCUUUGAUAACAUAAGAAUAGCUCUAAUAUCUAAAUGGCGACAGAGAGUUGGGCCGUUAUCACCCUGAUGAGAAGACACUAUCUGCCCAAACUCACAUUUGAGGAUUCCCUCU
rnacentral:lncRNA from 1 species